rnacentral:snRNA from 1 species
GUGCUCACUUCAGCACAUAUACUGAAAUUGGAACAGUACAGAGAUCAGCACGGCCCUUGCUCAAGGAUGACACACGAAUUUGUGAAACAUUCCAUUAAAAA